rnacentral:rRNA from 1 species
CUGACCAGCAUGCCGCGUGAGGUGAUGAAGGCCUUCGGGUCGUAAACCUCUGUCAGCAGGAACGAUGGGUCUCCGUGCUAAUACCACGGAGACUUGACGGUACCUGCAAAGGAAGCCCCGGCUAACUCCGUGCCAGCAGCCGCGGUAAUACGGAGGGGGCAAGCGUUGCUCGGAAUUACUGGGCGUAAAGGGUCCGCAGGUGGCCUCUUAAGUUGAAUGUGAAAUCUCAGGGCUUAACCCUGAAACUGCAUCCAAUACUGCGAGGCUUGAGUCCAAGAGAGGUUGGCGGAAUUCCCGGUGUAGCGGUGAAAUGCGUAAAUAUCGGGAGGAACACCAGUGGCAAAGGCGGCCAACUGGCUUGGAACUGACACUCAGGGACGAAAGCGUGGGUAGCGAACCGGAUUAGAUACCCGGGUAGUCCACGCCCUAAACGAUGGAUGCUAGGUGUGGGGAUGAAAAUCUCUGUGCCGAAGUUAACGCAUUAAGCAUCCCGCCUGGGGAGUAGGGUUCGCAAGAUUGAAACU